UACGUAGGCAGCGAGCGUUGUUCGGAAUUACUGGGCGUAAAGAGUGUGUAGGCGGUGCUCUAAGUUCGUUGUGAAAUCUCCCGGCUUAACUGGGAGGGUGCGGCGGAAACUGGAGUGCUUGAGCGCGGGAGAGGAAAGCGGAAUUCCUGGUGUAGCGGUGAAAUGCGUAGAUAUCAGGAGGAACACCUGUGGUGUAGACAGCUUUCUGGACCGUAGCUGACGCUGAGACACGAAAGCGUGGGUAGCAAACAGG
rnacentral:rRNA from 1 species